CAGUGACGAGGUCCGCUACGUAAAUCCCUUUGCGGCGGGAUAAAUAAAGAAAACAGGAAAGGAGGAAAGCAUUGAUUACAGAUGUCUUAACAAUGAGCAAAUGUGCAAGGAAAAAAUAUAUUAAGACAAAUCCAAGGUAGCAGCAAUUGCAGAGACAGAUGAAUCUGCAGAAUCAGAAGGUGUAAUUGAUUCUCAUAAACGUAGAGAAAUCCUUUCACGAAGACCCUCUUAUAGGAAAAUACUGAAUGAACUGUCCUCUGAUGUGCCUGGUGUUCCCAAGAUUGAAGAAGAGAGAUCAGAGGAAGAAGGAACACCACCUAGUAUUGCUACCAUGGCAGUACCAACUAGCAUAUAUCAGACUAGCACGGGGCAAUACAGUAUGUAUGCUGCAAUUCGAUAUGAUACAGUGCUAGCUUUAAGUCUUCUCUAGUUAUAUUGAAGCAACUCAGGUUUUGGCAUUAAAUUGUUCCAUUUUAAAAUGCAUCAUUAAUACCUAAACUGUAUCAUAGAAUGAAAGUAUAUGUUAAAAAGUGAGAUCUUUGUAUUGACAGCUGUCAUAUAAU
rnacentral:sRNA from 1 species